rnacentral:rRNA from 1 species
AGUCGAGAAUCUUCGGCAAUGAGCGAAAGCUUGACCGAGCGACGCCGCGUGCGGGAUGAAGGCCCUCGGGUUGUAAACCGCUGUCGUAGAGGAGGAAGGCUCUGUGCAGAGCAGGGUUUGACCUAUUCUAGGAGGAAGUCCGGGCUAAGUUCGUGCCAGCAGCCGCGGUAAGACGAACCGGACAAACGUUAUUCGGAAUCAUUGGGCUUAAAGGGUGCGUAGGCGGUGCUGUAAGUCGGGUGUGAAAUGCCUCAGCUCAACUGAGGAAUUGCGCCCGAUACUGCGGUGCUUGAGGGAGACAGAGGUAAGCGGAACUGAUGGUGGAGCGGUGAAAUGCGUUGAUAUCAUCAGGAACACCAGUGGCGAAAGCGGCUUACUGGGUCUCUUCUGACGCUGAGGCACGAAAGCUAGGGUAGCAAA